UGCCAACAUUGUGAAUGUGCUUAGUUCCAUGGAACUGUACACUUAAAAAUGGUUAAAAUGGUACAUUUGAUGCAAUGUGUAUUUUUACUAGAGCAGAAGAGGCUGAAAAAGUCAAUUACUGUAAUUAGAAAAUCACUUUGUUUAUGAAGGCCGGGCAGCUGAUAGUAGAUUUUAGAUGCUCUCCCAAACACAAGGAAAGUUUCCUCUUGCUUUUCUGGAACAUUGGUAAGGACUUCAAUUAUGCUCUAAGCCCUAAUUCCCAAGUGAAAUUCACCAGGGGGACCAAGGAUUUCAUCCAAGAGAAACACUAGGUGAAUGCAAAAAAUGCCCCCAGUUCCGGGGCACCGCACAAGAAUACAGAAACGCUCACACUCAACCCAAACCAGCCUCCAAGUGAACUCAGUCCACCUGUGCCGGCUUCGUGUGCCACGCCCCUCCACGUCAGAUCGCAUUCGGAGCAGAACUGUUGUAACAUAUCCCAGCAAGCUGAGGUCCCUGUGCAGAGGAGAAGAGCCCCUGGGACAGGUUCUCCCCUGGGCGGACCAUCUCGGGAGGCUCCAAGAGGGAAGGCACAGAGUUUGUCCCCUCAAGAACAUCGAUCCUUUGGGGACAUUCACGUGGGCACCUACCUGUGCUCUCCCCAGGCUAAGCCACAUCGCCUGCCUUCAGAUGAUGUAGUGACCUCACCGGCAGCUCAGUCAGACCACAGACUUCAGCAUCACCAAGAGCCUUAAAUGAAACAUGACAUCAUUCAAUUGAGAAACGGGACAAUAGACGCCACUGUGGGU